rnacentral:tRNA from 1 species
UGGGAUAGCUCAGUCGGUAGAGCGACUGAUUCGUAAUCAGUAGGUCGAGGGUUCAAGUCCCUUUCUCA